CCCUUAGAUGUUCUGGGCUGCACGCGCGCUACACUGAUGCGUUCAUCGAGUUUACGCCCUGGCCCGGCAGGGUUGGGUAAUCUUUUGAAAUUUCAUCGUGAUGGGGAUAGAUCAUUGCAAUUGUUGGUCUUCAACGAGGAAUUCCUAGUAAGCGCGAGUCAUCAGCUCGCGUUGACUACGUCCCUGCCCUUUGUACACACCGCCCGCCGCUCCUACCGAUUGAAUGGUCCGGUGAAGUGUUCGGAUCGCGCCGACGUGGGCGGUUCGCCGCCGGCGACGUCGCGAGAAGUCCACUGAACCUUAUCAUUUAGAGGAAGGAGAAGUCGUAACA
rnacentral:rRNA from 1 species